rnacentral:rRNA from 1 species
GACGGAGGGUGCUAGCGUUGUUCGGAAUGACUGGGCGUAAAGGGCGCGUAGGCGGCUCGUGAAGUCGAGUGUGAAAGCCCGGGGCUCAACCCCGGAACGGCAUCCGAUACUGGCGGGCUUGAGACCGGGAGAGGAGGGUGGAAUACCCAGUGUAGAGGUGAAAUUCGUAGAUAUCGAGAGGAACACCGGUGGCGAAGGCGGCGAUCUGGACGAUGACUGACGCUGAGACGCGAAAGCGUGGGGAGCAAACAGG